UGGUUCUCCCCGAAAGCUAUUUAGGUAGCGCCUCGUGAAUUCAUCUCCGGGGGUAGAGCACUGUUUCGGCUAGGGGGCCAUCCCGGCUUACCAACCCGAUGCAAACUGCGAAUACCGGAGAAUGUUAUCACGGGAGACACACGGCGGGUGCUAACGUCCGUCGUGAAGAGGGAAACAACCCAGACCGCCAGCUAAGGUCCCAAAGUCAUGGUUAAGUGGGAAACGAUGUGGGAAGGCCCAGACAGCCAGGAUGUUGGCUUAGAAGCAGCCAUCAUUUAAAGAAAGCGUAAUAGCUCACUGGUCGAGUCGGCCUGCGCGGAAGAUGUAACGGGGCUAAACCAUGCACCGAAGCUGCGGCAGCGAACGUAUCACCCAAGACAACUUUACGGAGUUGACGAUUGACGGAGCGAAGCGACGUCAAAGCGUUCAUUAAAGUCGAGUUGGCUUAGGGAUACGUUCGUUGGGUAGGGGAGCGUUCUGUAAGCCUGUGAAGGUGUGUCGUGAGGCAUGCUGGAGGUAUCAGAAGUGCGAAUGCUGACAUAAGUAACGAUAAAGCGGGUGAAAAGCCCGCUCGCCGGAAGACCAAGGGUUC
rnacentral:rRNA from 1 species